rnacentral:rRNA from 1 species
CAGUAGCCGCGGGAAUACGUAGGUGGCAAGCGUUGUCCGGAAUUAUUGGGCGUAAAGGGCUCGCAGGCGGUUUCUUAAGUCUGAUGUGAAAGCCCCCGGCUCAACCGGGGAGGGUCAUUGGAAACUGGGAAACCUGAGUGCAGAAGAGGAGAGUGGAAUUCCACGUGUAGCGGUGAAAUGUGUAGAGAUGUGGAGGAACACCAGUGGCGAAGGCGACUCUCUGGUCUGUAACUGACGCUGAGGAGCGAAAGCGUGGGGAGCGAACAGGAUUAGAUACCCCUGUAGUCCCUGUCUCUUAUAC